AGGUAGAUAAUGCAGACAUGUUUUAAAUGGCCAACUAAGAACAAAAGAAAAAAACUGACAGGAGAAGUGUAUACUAUAGAAUAUAAUACUACCUGAAAUGAACUAUAUCAAGUUCUUAUUGCAAAUCAUUUAAGACUGGGAAGGCCCUGGCAUCAGACUGCAGUACUUGAAUAUGCUUCCACCAUGUAAUAGCUAAAUCAUAGGCAACAAUUCCUUUGAUUGACAUGGAUACCCAGUAGGCUAGGUUCUUCAGAGAGACAGCUGUCAUCCCCAACUCCCUCAAAGAGCAGCAUCUUUUGGAAAUUAAAAGCCAAAGAUAUGGAAACUGGCUACAACUGGGUACUUAAGCAGGCCUCCUGAUAAAAUGCUGAUGAGAUAAAACACAGCUGAAGGUCAAUAACUGAAACAAAAGGCUUGGGUCCUGGACUCUGAUCACACCAAAAUAAAAAUCCUCUGUUAGAAAUGCUGAGGUUGAUGGUCAGUGCUGGAAGCUACAAUUCUGCUACGUCACAGAACUGGAACCACAAAGUUUGGACCUCAGGCCCAAACCAUCCUAGAGGAAGUGCUGGUGUUCCCCCAACCAUGAAGCUUAUGAGUCCCAUAGCUCAAGGCUGGGGGCCCUUUAAAGUCUGAUGUCUUACUCAGUGGAUCCCUGUGCACCGGGCAUUGAGAAGCUGGCUCACCUGCUGCUGCUCGGCCUCUGGAAGUUUUCCCCCAAUCCAAGGUGACUUGAAAUGUCUUAAGGAAUCUUCAUGGAGGUUGUUAUAGACUGACUUGUCUCCUCAAAAUCCAUGUUUGUUGAAGCCCUAACACCCAGUGUGGCUGUAUUUGGACAAAAGGUCUUUAAAGAGGUCACUAAGGUUAAACAAGGUCAUCAGGUUGGGAUCCUAAUUCAAUGGAACAUGUGUUCUCAUCAGAAGAAGAGGAGUUAACAGGAAAAUGCAUGCAGAGGAAACUCUGGGUGAGGACACAGUGAAGAUGAAACCACCAACACACCAAGAAGAGCAAUCACACCAGAAACCAGUGCUGCUAACACCUUGAUCUUGGGCUUCCAGCCUCAAGAACUGCGAGAGAAAAUAUAUACACGCUGUUUAAACCACACAGACUUUGGUCUCCUUCAGGAGCCCCAGUUAGUAGCAACAUCCAUUGGGUGCCAGUUCACAUUCAUCUCUUCAUUGUUGUCAUGGUUUCAGAGUUUAUAUUAGAAUGUUGGUAAGUUCUCAACUUGCCAUUCUCACAUCACA